UAGGGAAUCUUCCACAAUGGGCGAAAGCCUGAUGGAGCAACGCCGCGUGUGUGAUGAAGGGUUUCGGCUCGUUAAAACACUGUUGCAAGAGAAGAAUGACAUUGAGAGUAACUGUUCAAUGUGUGACGGUAUCUUACCAGAAAGGAACGGCUAAAUACGUGCCAG
rnacentral:rRNA from 1 species